GCACUUCCUCUAAGAUCUCCCUUACUGAGUAGAUAGAACCCUUAGGAAUAGCCCAGAUGAACAUUUUCUUCUGCAUUAAACCAAGAUAAGAAUUGCUAUUUGUCUAAUUCAUGGAGGCCACUUUGUAGCUAGAUUCGCUUUUCAGUGACAAAACAAUCUAGCCGAUCCAUAUGUGUGUUCCAUUUAAUCUCUAUCAGCUUUUUAUCUAACCAUCGUUUUCUGAAAAACAGCAACAGAGUUGCUCUUAGGGAUUCUAAUUGUUGAAUAUUUAUUUGUCUUUCAAUUAAUUAAAAGAAACUUUGAGCAUCUGAUAAAAAUGAGAAAUUGCACUGGGAACAUACAGUGUAUUCCUAGAGUCACGGUGCUGAAUCUUCUUGUGUAUAGACUAAAGAGCAUCCUCAUGUUUAUAGCAGAAGAUAGCACUUGCAUCCAGCCAUUUAAACAAACCACAAGCUUUUCAUCAAAAUACUGAACUGAGUUUCUACAUAGAGGUUAUAUCGGAUUCUUCUCUUCUCACGCUCUUGUCUUCCUAGCCUGAAUGGCUCUCACAAGCUAUGUACUCUUUUAAGGAAGUCAGGGUUUUUUUUUCCAUGCAUAAAAUGAUAAAAGUCAUUUUGAUUCCUUUAUCCCACAUUCAAAUCUCUCCAGCAGAAUCUUCCAUGUAGAGCCCUUCCUGGAAAAUAGAGACUUCAGAAGUAUCACAAAAGAAAAGCAGGAGAGGUAUAGUUAUUGGGUUUUGAUCCUCGCCUGUUUGCUUAUGAAAUGACAUAAGACUAAUUCAAGGAUCUUCUCAGGUCAUACUGGUGAAUAUGAUCCUGGGAAACCAUUUACAGCCUGGCUACGUGGUUUUCACUGGGGCUUUGCCUUCUCAUUCAAAGACUUGUUCCAUCUGACAUUUAUAGAAAUAUUAUACUUUCUCUUCACCAUAGAGUGGUUUGUGUGCUAGGUGCCUUAUUUCAGCUCUGAACUAUGUUUCACUGGGCCUCCCUGAAGGUGUGAAAGAUGCUGAGAUACUUAAAAAAAAAACCCACUUACUCAGCAUCUAUGUGUCAGGGGGACAGUUCUUGGUAUUUUUCACACAUGAUCUUCUGAGCUACAAACAUCAACCUUAAAGACAUACUAGCUCUGUAAACAAAUGAGGAGAUAAAGACAUGAAGAGCUGAAUGAUCUGUCUCAGAGUCCUCAAUAGGAAAAGAAAGAAAUGGAUUCCAAUGAGAGGCAACAUAUCAAAGGGUUUUAACUGCAUCACUCCAUCUUCUACAGAUUAUCUAUUAUCUAAAUAGUAUAUGUAUACAGGUGUGUGUGUGUUGACAUUCAUGUGAUAAAAUCACUUCCAGGUACCAAAUCCAUCAAGCUCUGUGUGAGGGGAAUCACCUUGAUAUCAUUGAGAUGCUGACUACCUUGGGAACAUUUUUAUGAUAACUGUCCUAAACAAUAUGAGAAUAAAAAUCUGUUCCCAAUUUUUAAAAAGCUGUGAAAAAGUCAAAUGUAGAAUUAAAAAAUG
rnacentral:lncRNA from 1 species